AUUGAACGCUGGCGGCAUGCCUUACACAUGCAAGUCGAACGGCAGCAUGAUCUAGCUUGCUAGAUUGAUGGCGAGUGGCGCACGGGUGAGUAAUACAUCGGAACGUGCCCUUUUGUGGGGGAUAACUAGUCGAAAGAUUAGCUAAUACCGCAUACGACCUGAGGGUGAAAGUGGGGGACCGCAAGGCCUCAUGCUAUAGGAGCUGCCGAUGUCGGAUUAGCUAGUUGGUGGGGUAAAGGCGCACCAAGGCGACGAUCAGUAGCUGGUCUGAGAGGACGAUCAGCCACACUGGGACUGAGACACGGCCCAGACUCCUACGGGAGGCAGCAGUGGGGAAUUUUGGACAAUGGGCGAAAGCCUGAUCCAGCAAUGCCGCGUGUGUGAAGAAGGCCUUCGGGUUGUAAAGCACUUUUGUCCGGAAAGAAAUGGAUCUGGUUAAUACCUGGGGUCGAUGACGGUACCGGAAGAAUAAGGACCGGCUAACUACGUG
rnacentral:rRNA from 1 species